GCAAGUCGAACGAAGCUUGACGGAUGAUUUCUUCGGAAUGAAACCAGAUAUGACUUAGUGGCGGACGGGUGAGUAACACGUGAGCAACCUGCCUUUCAGAGGGGGAUAACGGCUGGAAACGGUCGCUAAUACCGCAUGAUGUGUUCGGAUGGCAUCAUCUGAACAUCAAAGAUUUAUCGCUGAAAGAUGGCCUCGCGUCUGAUUAGCUAGUUGGUGAGGUAACGGCCCACCAAGGCGACGAUCAGUAGCCGGACUGAGAGGUUGAAC
rnacentral:rRNA from 1 species